GCAAUAAUAGCACAAGUGAGCGCAUCUAAGCAAAGGCAAAAUGGCAGACCAACCAACUCCAAAGUGGGUGACCAAAGAGCUAUUCAGCAGCUUGUUGGAACAGGGUAAUCAAAAUUUCAAGGCUAUAGUUAAAUAUGUUCCAACAUCGGCGAUUAGCAAAGGGGAAAACUAUUUGACGAUCGUGCUGCGCAUACAAAUUGAAAUGCAGCUGAAAGAUGAUAGCUUAGAAGAUAUCAGCUACAUACUUAAGAUUCCUUUGGUACCGGAAGAUCAGGAAAACGACUUCCAUGACAUGUUCGAUGCCGAACAGGACAUGUACGAUAAUCUGAUCCCAGAAUUGGAAAACCUUUAUGCCCAGAAUACUUCCAUCUCACCGAAAUUCAAGCCUGUGCAUUUGAGGUUUCCUGGUGAGCCAGUGAAAAGCGACUACAUUCUGUUGGAGGAUCUGCGAGUGAAGGGAUAUAGGAAUGCCGACAGGACCCAGGGAUUGGAGCAGUUUGAAGUGGAGGCGGCCCUCAAGAAGUUGGCCCAGUGGCAUGCAGCCUCUGCAAAAAGAGUAGUGGAGCUGGGGGAAUACGAUAGGGACAUCCGAGAGAGUUACUUUACUACUGAGCACCAGAAACUGCUCGAUGAAUUCAACGUUAAUUUUUGUAUGCCCUUCCUGGAGUGUAUGCAGCAAUAUAAUCUGGAGCCCGGACAGCUGGUCCUCAUAAGCGACUACACAUCCCAAUUGACGGAUCUGAACAUCGAGUUUGGUAAGAACGAUCCUCUGGAGUUGAGUGUGUUAAACCACGGGGAUUUUUGGUGCAACAACUUUAUGUUCAAGUACAGGAACGCCUCAGAGGUGGAGGACGUUUGCUUUGUCGACUUCCAACUCCCAAAAUAUGGCACACCCGCCCAAGAUCUUCUGUGCAUGCUGAUGACCUCGCCGAAGUUUUCGAUCAAGCUGGAAAAGUUUGACUAUUUCAUAGGGUAUUAUCACCAGCAGCUAGUCGAGCACCUCGCCAUGCUCAAUUACAAUCGGAAUGCACCGACACUGGCGCAGUUCCACGCCCAUCUACACCGAUACAGUCUCUGGGCUUUCAUUUGCGCCCAACGAAUGCUUCCCAUUGUUCUGCUCCCGCCCGAUGUUGGUUCCCAUAUCGGCAAUAUAAUGGGCAACUCGGAGGAGGCGACCGCCUUCAAGCGCAAGAUGUUCCUGCUGCCGGCCUACGUGGAUCAGAUAAAAGUCAUUUUGCCAUGGCUCAUCAGCCGGGGUUACAUAAGGUAGACGCGGUGCAAUGAUAAACAGGUUUCGGGAGAACGUAUGGUGCAGUAAAACUAUUGUAUUUUAUUAGCACAAGCAACUUGUUCACAAAAUAGCUCAAAAUGCUAUGCACUUCGAGAUAAUUACAGCGAAAUUUCACACUGUACAAUAAACAAAGGCAAAACGCUCUUUCAACUGCCGAAAUAUUUAAAAUGCUAUUACAGAGCUUUUGAGAAAAGAUCGAGAGAAAAAAGCCGUGCACCACGAAAUUAGAAAGCUCCACUGAUAUGUGAAUCUAAUACUCAGUUUUCAUCAGUCUACGCAAGACCGUCAAACUGGACGUAACG